rnacentral:rRNA from 1 species
UACAGAGGUCUCAACCGUUGUUCGGAUUUAUUGGGCGUAAAGAGCGUGUAGGCGGCCAGGUAGGUCUGCUGUGAAAACUCGAGGCUCAACCUCGAGACGUCGGCGGAAACCAUCUGGCUAGAGUCCGGAAGAGGAGAGUGGAAUUCCUGGUGUAGCGGUGAAAUGCGCAGAUAUCAGGAAGAACACCCGUGGCGAAGGCGGCUCUCUGGGACGGUACUGACGCUGAGACGCGAAAGCGUGGGGAGCGAACAGG